ACAGGUUUAAUCUUUGAUUCGUUAUCCAGCUGUUUACACGUGUGCUCUGCUGUGGCAGCAGGCGACUCUGACCAUCGAGGGAUCUGAAUUACAGCUUGAAGCUCAGGAUGAAGUUUUUUCUUCUGACGGUUUUCUAUCUGAUCACCUCUGCUGGGGUUAGUUCUCAUGACAGCAGCUGUUCAGACAGCGAUGAGAGUGGCAAUCAUUGGCUUCAGCCUAAGCCGAAUCCCUGGAAUUUAAUCCCUUUGUGGGAGCUGUUUCCUGGUCUGUUUCCACCACCUACUGUCCCAACAACAACCCCAACCCCAACUACAACUGCAACUACAACUACCACUACAGCUACAACUACAACCCCAACUACAACCCCAACCCCAACUACAACUACAACCCCAACUACAACCCCACAGACUACAGUUGUCACGACCACUGAGAGCCGAGGAGACAGCGGAUAAGCUGUACUGAUCUGAGAAAAGGGAAAGCAGAUGGAAUUACUUUACUUCUCUUCUCCAACAGCAGGAAGGGUUGUCAGUGAUAUGGAAAAACAUGCUGUGUGUGUGUGUUUUUUUGCAUGUAUAUAUUUUUGGUUGCAUUUUAUCGCGUUGAAGCCAUGUUUGAACCAGAUUUCAUUGACAAAAAUAUAGAGGCCAUUUUUCACAUUUCAGUAUUGUUUCAGCAACCUCUCCACAGUCACAUGUGUUUUUCUGUCGACUCUUUUUGUGUUGGUCAGUUGUCAUCUCAUUUUAAUCUGCAUAAUGUGUCGCUCAACUGUUUUUUAUGCCGCGGUCUAUACAGAACCUGAAGAAUGUAGUGAUAUAUUGUGAUUUGGAGCAUACAAUGGAGACAGGCACUUCAUCAGGGUGUAAUUAUGAGUUUUGUUGGAGGCUGAUCUCAGGACGGUGCUGGAGACACCUGUGGGAAGAUGCUGACGACACACCGCUGUAAUAUCCACUCAGUGGGCACACACGUCACCAGCCCUGCAUCACCACAGCUUAAGGCAGGGAUGAGUGCUGAGCCUUUAAUACCUGACUCUUUGCUUCAUCAGUGAAGUCUGUCACGCUGUGCUUUUAUCAUGACUCAGCAUCUCGACUAAUAUUCCCAUUCAUCGCACUGCACUGCCAACUCUUUGCAGCGUUUGUUCACAGGAACUUAAACAAAAAUAUGCACAACUGCAUUAACAUUCUCACAAAUACACACCUGUUUCUUAAUGUACCACUUAAUUGCAGUCCUUCCAAGUGGUACGUUGGUACCAAAAUACUGUUUUUUGCACAGCCACUCAUUAUGAAUGUAAUCUCAACAUCAUCUCCAAGUUUGUUGGAAUUUCAGUUUAACUUGUAACCUUUGUUAAAUAAUGUAAACCAGCCAAACAAACUUCUGAAUCAUGCACUGAAUAACAACUUUCGCCUAUUUUAUAAUUUGCAUCAUGCAAUUUAAUUAGAAGCCAGAUAAUUGCUGAGGUAAUUUUGUGUGGAGACAUAUAUUUUAAUCUAACGGUGUGGAGGCAUCUUCUGUUGGUUUAUCUAUUUUUGACAUAUUCCUGAAUGAACCCAGUAUGACUCAAACAUGGCAGAAAUGUCAUGUGUUGAGCACCUUGCUUUAAAAAAAUUAAAAAUGAUUGUGUUGUUGCCAAACCAACUUGUCUUGUCACUCAGCGCUUAUAUUGUUGAGAGUCAUCCCUCAAUUAUAAACCCUUUGUU